GAAAUUACGAAGUCCACAUUGGGAGAAAAAGCAUAAAUACGAACCAACCCUCAAGACCCCUGCACGGUAAUCAUCGUGUCACUCAGAUAUCCAUUUCUAUUUAAUUUAGAGAUUCAUCAAACCAAAAAUGAUCUGGUACACUAUUUUUGAAACAUUAUGCGCAUUUGGUAUCAUCAUCGAGUUGGGCAUUAACUCAAUAGCACAGCCAAACAUAGAACAAAAUAACCAUUAUUAUUCAAAUAUUCUUUUAAUAUGAAAUACUUCUUCUUAAAGAAAUAAACUUACCAAAACAAUCGGUACAAAACUAAUUUCGAAUAAACGGGUAGAUGAUGGUGAAUGGUGUAAGUGGACUGACUAUAUAUGCGAACACUAGAAUCAUUGUGAUAGAGGGAUCAAACCUACAAAAGCUAUUUUUUUCUAAAAACGUUGUAAAAAUGACUGUAUUACAUUAAGUCGACUGUUAACUAAGUUGUCUCUGAAAAAGCCAACUUCCAUAGUAUCUGACCGCUAAAAGGAAAUUUCAAGUAAACAAAACCGGUACAAUGAAAAGAAACAAAUUUUGAUUACACCGAAAAGUGUGAUUAGGAUAGAAAAUCUGAUCAUUUUUAAUAUAUUUUUCGAAAAUUUAUGACGACAACCUAAGACAAACAUGAAAAUACAAAAAUAUUUAAGAUAUAAAGCGGAAAAAGAAAAGGAAGUAAAACGCCCUUGAAAGCAAAAAAAUUGAUUUUUAUUCAGUAUUUGACAAGCAAGGCAAUGAAACCCAGCUAAACCAAUAAUCCAUUCG